rnacentral:rRNA from 1 species
UGGCGACCGGGUGAGUAACACGUGACUAACCUACCCUCGAGUGGGGAAUAACUCCGGGAAACCGGGGCUAAUACCGCAUAACAUCUUCGGAAUGCGAGUUCUGUUGAUCAAAGGAGCAAUUCGCUUGAGGAGGGAGUCGCGGCUGAUUAGCUAGUUGGCGGGGUAAUGGCCCACCAAGGCUUAGAUCGGUAGCCGGCCUGAGAGGGCGCACGGCCACACUGGAACUGAAACACGGUCCAG